rnacentral:rRNA from 1 species
CCCUUAGAUGUUCGGGGCCGCACGCGCGCUACACUGAAGGAAUCAGCACGUCUUUCUCCUUGUCCGAAAGGACUGGGUAACCCGCUGGACCUCCUUCGUGCUAGGGAUUGGGGCUUGUAAUUCUUCCCCAUGAACGAGGAAUUCCCAGUAAGCGCGAGUCAUAAGCUCGCGUUGAUUACGUCCCUGCCCUUUGUACACACCGCCCGUCGCUACUACCGAUUGGAUGGUUUAGUGAGAUCCUCGGAUUGGUCCCGGAGCGGCCUCUGGUCGUGCCGGAGUGCCGAAAAGAAUGUCGAACUUGAUCAUCUAGAGGAAGUAAAAGUCGUAACA